AGCGAACGCUGGCGGCAGGCCUAACACAUGCAAGUCGAACGAACCUUUCGGGGUUUGUGGCGGACGGGUGGGUAACACGUGGGAACGUGCCUUUAGGUUCGGAAUAACUCAGGGAAACUUGUGCUCAUACCGAAUGUGCCCUUCGGGGGAAAGAUUAAUCGCCUUUGGAGCGGCCGGCGUCUGAUUAGCUAGUUGGUUGAGGUAAUGGCUCACCAAGGCGACGAUCAGUAGCUGGUCUGUGAGGAUGAUCAGCCACAUUGGGACUGAGACACGGCCCAAACUCGGACGGGAGGCAGCAGUGGGGAAUCUUGCGCAAUGAGCGAGAGCGUGACGCAGCCAUGCCGGGUGAAUGAUGAAGGUCUUAGGAUUGUAAAAUUCUUUCACCGGGGACGAUAAUGACGGUACCCGGAGAAGAAGCCCCGGCUAACUUCGUG
rnacentral:rRNA from 1 species